ACUGAUAAAGAUGUUGUGGACUAAACCAGAGAAACUAAAGUACAUUCAACUAUCUAAUUAUUUACUGAUGUCAUACCAGUGAUCUAAUAUUCCUUCGUGUUUAUUUAAGAAAUAAAAAAUACCCAGACAACUUGAAAUAUUCCUCAUCCAUAAAUAAUAUGUGGUGGAUUUACAAGGUUAUGAGACAAAACAGUGGUACUAUUUUAAAAAAAAUACAUUUCAAGAAAAUAAAGUCAUCAUUCUUGAAGUCUCUUUAAGGUAUUUCUAUCCGGAGGAAAACAGAAAACCUCGAAGGCAUACUAUAAUUUAAUGAUAGGACGUGAGGUCUUGUAAGAUAUAUAAUCUCGUAUCGUAUCGCAUAAUAGAUUUCUACGUCUAAAGCAUAUACAUUAUAAUAAAAAAAUGGUCAAUAUGUAAGAGAGAAGCACUUGGAAUACUCUUUAUCGCUUUGGGAUCUUAUGCCCUGGAGCACACACAUGACCCAACAAGGAUAGAUAUACAUCGAUGAGAUCAUGAGAGCCAACGGUUAUAAUGAGUUCUCAGAAUCAAAAAUGCUAUAUUCUUCGAUGAUGCUAAAGAAACGGUGAUGAUCGAUGGGGACCAAACAUCAACUUGCAAAUUUGCGAUGCAAACUGUAGAACAAAUAAAUGCCACGUGAAACCCUACACGACAGCUAAGUUGCGAAGUACUAUUAGUGAUGUGGUCCAUUAGGCGUGGGGUUGAAUCGGACGAUUAUAAGACGGUGUCAUGGAGGGGAAUAAGAACCGUCUGAUUAAGCUUCUAAAAAUAGACAGACAUGGUCCAUGUCAAGACGUAAAUGGAAUGGGACCUCAUUGCCAAAAACAGAAAGAUGGGGAUAUAUUCAAAUAGGUCACUUCUUGGGUUUACUGAGUGGGUUUUCUAAAAGUUUUUGGGGACCAGUCUAUUGUAUAGUAAGUUACUAUAGUCUUGGACUCAUCGUCAUUAUGUAUAAAAUAAAAGGUCUUUUUUUUUUAAAUAAAAGGUUUCAGCUUCCAAGAAAUUAAAAUGAUCAAAUUUGUGUAACUAAACUUGAUUUGGUUAACGAUUUUUUUUUUACAAACGGAGAAUUGUUGUGUUACUUACAUUUACUUUUAAAUUUCAGAAACAAACAGAUGUAUGGAUCUUUGACUCUUUGUACUAUACUAACGUAGAGAUUUAAGACAUCGAAGAUGUAAGAAACAUUUACCUUCCAAGACACAUUAUGAGUUAUCAAUUACACAUAAAGACACAUUGGGUCAAGAGAGCACUUUCUUAUGCUCAUUUGUCUGAAUUGCCCUUCAACUAGAGAGAAGGUGUCGGUAACAUUUGUCAAAAUUCUUUUCAAUAUUCUCUAUAAUUAAUUCCAUUCAACUUUCACCUUUUGGUUUCAUAUUUCUUAAUUCCCUAAACUCAAUCUUGCCUCAAUCUAUCGUCAUCUUCAUCUCUCAUCUUUCGUAUCCUUCUAAAGCUUCUUCUUCUUCACAAAAUUUGUAGAUUUUUUUAUAAUUCUAAAUCACUAAUUUCUGUUUGUCGCUUUAUCUUUCACUACUUACUGUUUUAAAUCUGGAAAUCAUGGAAACCUCAGAUUGAGGCUAAGGAAAAUCUAUUAUGAAAUCUCAGAUUGGGAAAUUCCAGAUCUUUACCGAAUAUAUCCAAGGUUUGCUUUUAACUGAACUAUGAGAAUUUCAUAUACAUAUUUUUUUCCCUCUUUCAUACUUGUUUCUAAUUGAUAUACAAGAAGAUAAGAAAUAGAUAAAAAUUUGAUUUUCUUCUUAAGCAUACAUAGAAGCCUAUGUCUCUCCUGCAACAUUUGAUUCACAUGUCGCCCAUGCUUUUCAUGUCCAACAAUUUCCUUGUCCACAAAUGGGCUAUCCAUAAAGCUGUCGUCCAUGAAUUUCAUGUCCACCAAGCUCGUAUCCAUCCAUAUCCUCCCCAUCGUUCUCUUACCCACCAAUCUCAUAUCUGCAUCUCUCUUGUAUAUCAAUUUUUGGAUAUGACUUAACUAUGUGUGUGAGGUAACUAUUAUCUAAACGGUGGUAUAUUUUGAGUUAAGUGUGACUUCUCCCUGUUUGUAAGCAAAUAAGGGUUUGGAAGAUAGUCUCUUGUUGUUGCAUCUGUUGCUAAUGUUGUUCAGACAUGAACUAUGGAGUUCACUUCCAAGUUAAGUUGGUAGCUUCCAUGUUUGGUAUCUAAUUGGCACUAUACAAAAGUCUGGGACAGUUCACAAUA